ACCUUCAUAGGUCAAUGGCAAAGCGUCCGUCUUGUAAGCAGAAGGUCCGCGGUUCAAUCCCAUAUGAAGGCA